rnacentral:lncRNA from 1 species
GUGCUAGAAUAUACGUGCUGACCUCCAGUAUUUUUCUCUGUGGAUGAAGCUUGCAAAAAAGCCUUUUCCAGUUCUGCAAUAGUCUGAGCAUCAACUUCCUGGGCUUUUUUCACUGAUUGUAGAGAACGAAGUCUUUUAUUCUCCUCUCUGAGGUUAUGAUUUUCCAUAGCAUACUUGGCAAUUCGUGGGUGUUGUUCCAUCUGUUCUCUGAGCGUCUGCAAUUCCUCCCUCAAUUCACUGACGAGAUCUUCUUGCUCUUUUGGCA